AUUAGGAAAUAUUGUGGGAGAAUGAUCUCCUUUUAUAGAAGAGUUUCUAGCUUUGUUCUGACAUUGACACGUGUCGUGUUGUGAUUGACUUCUGAUGUUGACAUGUGUCGCGAUGUGAUUGGCUUCUGAUGUCAACACAUGUCGCAUUGUGAUUGGCCUCCUGGUUGGAAGGAAACUCUUCUGGGUCCUUGACAGUAUAACGUUGAUCGAUGCUCAGCAGUUUUGGGAUUGAUCAAGUAUGGUACAAACAAAUGCAAGUAUAUAUGAUCUCAUGAACGGAAUGCCACUACUUAGAAGCGAGAACCAGGGAUUCCAUAUGCUCGUACCAAUUUCAAACUCCACAUAUUGAAACACAUAACAACCAAGAUACAAAUCAAAGGGUUGUGAUGGGGCUAAGGUAUUGGCUAACAAAGAAUAGUCAAGGAUAAACAAAGGUUCUUAAAGUGAUAGUAAGCAAAGUAAUGAAAUGAACACUUAGAAUUCAAUUUUUGAAUGCAGCAACUAACUUUAAACACAAGGAAAAGAUUCUGACAACACUUAGGGCCGAAUUCAAACUUUUGGACCCUUUCUUUAACAACCAAUACUUGUAAACUCAUUCUCACUUAUUUUGAACUUUUUCUUUUUUUUUUCUUUCUUUUUCUUUCUAUUUUUUCCCCGUGCCUUUUUCUUUCUUUGGCACACUAAAUGUACAAACUUAUAGAUUUCCAACGAAAAACCUUCCCCCAUACUUGUUUUUCUGCAUAAUGUUGAUCAGCAGGAAUUCCCUCUAAGUCAUGCUCCACUAUUCUUUAAGAACAAGGGUAUGGAUAUUCCUAUGCUAGGCU
rnacentral:lncRNA from 1 species